GCAUGAUGUGAUCAAGGGCUUAAGUGUUGCAACUGUGUUUACGGUAAGGACCAGUCCCGGGCAAAGUUUCUGACACUCACUGAGCACAGUGCCUAGCUUUACGUAGGCACUCAACAAAUAUUUGUUGGAUGAAUAAAUUACUUGCUUGCCUACCUCCUACCCCAAACCAACCAUCACCGCUUGGGCAACUUCUCUGCCCACUCGAAGUGUUGGCUCGCUUCACCAUGCCAGUGCCCAGUGGGUUAUCGGGGACCACCAGGGACAGGACCUCAACCUACCCAGCUGUCUUCAGUUUUUCCUGAAGUUCACCAAACAUGAUUUAUUGGGUGCUUCGCGGGUGCCAGCCAGUGGUAGGCUCUGCAAAUACGAAGAUACGCAACACAAUUCCUGCCUGCAAGGAACUUAACGUGGGGCUGACGGUGAGACUGAAGCAAGCCGGUGAUCACAGGGCCCAAACCAUCCCGUGGAGGCUGUGCACAGGGCGUCACCCAAUCCGGCAUCAGUGGCUGGGGAAGGUUUCCUGCAAGAGAAACACUGAAAUUACAAAGAAACGCAUCAAUCUACACGGAACGAAGGCAGAUGCGGAAAAGCUGUGACCAGGACCGCACAACGUCAGGGGGAACAGCAUCAGGGGACGAGAACAGCUCUUUGCAGGGAACCAUCCACACAUCUCCUCCUGCCCCCCCGCCCCUCAGCCCUCAUGGACAAAGUACGGAGGCCGCCCCACC